rnacentral:rRNA from 1 species
ACACAUGCAAGUCGAACGAAGUCUUCGGACUUAGUGGCGGACGGGUGAGUAACACGUGGGAACGUGCCCUUUGGUACGGAGUAACUCAGGGAAACUUGAGCUAAUACAGUAUGUGCCCUUCGGGGGAAAGAUUUAUCGCCAUUGGAGCGGCCCGCGUCUGAUUAGCUAGUUGGUGAGGUAAAGGCUCACCAAGGCGACGAUCAGUAGCUGGUCUGAGAGGAUGAUCAGCCACAUUGGGACUGAGACACGGCCCAAACUCCUACGGGAGGCAGCAGUGGGGAAUCUUGCGCAAUGGGCGAAAGCCUGACGCAGCCAUGCCGCGUGAAUGAUGAAGGUCUUAGGAUUGUAAAAUUCUUUCACCGGGGACGAUAAUGACGGUACCCGGAGAAGAAGCCCCGGCUAACUUCGUGCCAGCAGCCGCGGUAAUACGAAGGGGGCUAGCGUUGCUCGGAAUUACUGGGCGUAAAGGGAGCGUAGGCGGACAUUUAAGUCAGGGGUGGAAUCCCGGGGCUCAACCUCGGAAUUGCCUUUGAUACUGGGUGUCUUGAGUAUGAGAGAGGUGUGUGGAACUCCGAGUGUAGAGGUGAAAUUCGUAGAUAUUCGGAAGAACACCAGUGGCGAAGGCGACACACUGGCUCAUUACUGACGCUGAGGCUCGAAAGCGUGGGGAGCAAACAGGAUUAGAUACCCUGGUAGUCCACGCCGUAAACGAUGAUUGCUAGUUGUCGGGAUGCAUGCAUUUCGGUGACGCAGCUAACGCAUUAAGCAAUCCGCCUGGGGAGUACGGUCGCAAGAUUAAAACUCAAAGGAAUUGACGG